GAUGAACGCUAGCGGCAGGCCUAACACAUGCAAGUCGAGGGGCAGCACGUCUUCGGAUGGUGGCGACCGGCGCACGGGUGCGUAACGCGUAUGCAACCUACCUCUUACAGUGGGAUAGCCCAGAGAAAUUUGGAUUAAUACCGCAUAGUAUACAGAUUCAGCAUUGGGACUGUAUUAAACAUUUANGGGUAAGAGAUGGGCAUGCGUUCUAUUAGUUAGUUGGAGUGGUAACGGCACCCCAAGACAGCGAUAGAUAGGGGCCCUGAGAGGGGGAUCCCCCACACUGGUACUGAGACACGGACCAGACUCCUACGGGAGGCAGCAGUGAGGAAUAUUGGACAAUGGGCGAGAGCCUGAUCCAGCCAUGCCGCGUGCAGGAAGACGGCCCU
rnacentral:rRNA from 1 species